AAAAGAAGAAUACGAUCGAGAACAGUACAUCGAAUAAAAGAUUUCCACGUUUUAUAACUCUUCCUACAUCUGUUGUACUAGCAGUCAGUCUGUUUGUUAUUAUCCUGAUAUUUGUUAUGGUUAUAAUCAGUAUUAAAGCAUUCAGACGAUUUUGCACUUAUCAAGAAAGACUUAAGAAAGUAAAUGAAAGGUUACCUGGUACAGAAUUUUCAACCUACACUGGAAUAGAAGAUACUAACGAAGAGGGAAAUGAUUCUGGAUAUAAGGAACUGUCUGACAACGUGUCACAACUGAGAGCAAACCGUCAUGAAGGGAUAAUGGAUACAUCAGAAAACACAAUGGAUUACCAAGGUUAUCUGGUACCUGAACAGUAUUACCAUACAAUACCGGAGGUGGAAGUACAUUAUGCAGAGGCAAAUGUAGCAUGAAGAAAUUCCGACAAAGACAACUAUUUAGAACCUGUUGCAUGAUGUUGUUGUGAUUUUUCCAUGAAUGGUACCACACAUUUUACUCAUACAUUGAUCAAUGUGAACGGAAAAAAAUUGUGUAAAAUUAGAGGUACCGGUUCACUAUCAUUUUAAUUUCAAAAGAGAAAUGAGUAGCGGGAAAAGUAUGUUAGUUUGUAAAAAAAGUUUAAACUCGAACUCACAUUAUUAUAAAAAGACCUAAAAUUCUUGAUUUCAUAUUCCAAAUGACUUUGUUAGUUUUCAUGCUUGAUUUAAUCUGUGUAUCACGGACGUAUAUGAAUAUUACAGUACAUAAUGUUGUUCACCAAACGAAAUAGAUAUUCACAUAUUGUGGCAGUGGAAGUUUUCUCAGAACUCACAAAAAUGUUUAGUCUAUAAUUUUAGAAUAAUAUCAUUUAUAAACGGUGU